rnacentral:rRNA from 1 species
AUGCGUCGUCAGGGACGCCGUCGACACGUCGGGAUACGUAGGGAUGGAGCUCAGCCCGAGUCUAGCAGAAGCCCACUCCUAACCCUAUUUUCUCGAUUGACAAGACCAGGGCAACGGAUUGGAUCGAGGGCGCCCGCAUGGCCUCGCCGCCGCUGCCGCCUGGAUUCGCUAGCUGCCGCCUCGAGUUACCUCCGUCGCCGCCGCCGCGAGUCAGCUCCACCGUUGCCGUCAGGAAUCUCGUCCAGGAAUGAAUGUUCUAGGGUUGGAGCAGAGGGGGUUGAGCAGCAGUUGAGCUUAGGCAUGAAUUUACAGAUUCAAGAUUUUCUUACACAUGGGGAUUUUUGUUCUCCUAAUGUUUCUAGGUUGCUUUGGAGGUUGAUAUCAGGUGGCUACUCAUGUUUGGCUUGGUGGCUUGGUGCCUAA